rnacentral:SRP_RNA from 1 species
GCCGGGUGCGGCGGCGCGCGCCUGUAGUCCCAGCUACUCGGGAGGCUGAGGCAGGAGGAUCGCUUGAGCCCAGGAGUUCUGGGCUGUAGUGUGCUAUGCAGAUCGGGUGUCCGCACUAAGUUUGGCAUCAAUAUGGUGACCUCCCGGGAGCGGGGCACCACCAGGUUGCCUAAGGAGGGGUGAACCGGCCCAGGUUGGAAACGGAGCAGGUCAAGUUUUAGUCUUAAACUUCACUUUGUGAGGUAAGGGGUGGGAAGGGAGGAAAGAGACUAACAGUUACUGAUCACUUGUGCCAGAAAAUUUACUUAU